CCUACGGGAGGCAGCAGUGGGGAAUAUUGCGCAAUGGGCGAAAGCCUGAAGCAGCGACGCAGCGUGAAGGAUGAAGGUCUUCGGAUCGUAAAACUCUGUCAGCAGGGAAGAACGGUCACUGUGCUAAUCAGCAGUGAAUUGACGGUAUCAGCAAAGGAAGCACAGGCUAACUCCGUGCCAGCAGCCGCGGUAAUACGGAGGGUGCGAGCGUUGAUCGGAUUUACUGGGCGUAAAGCGCUCGUAGGUGGUAUGUCAAGUCAAGUGUGAAAUUCCCGGGCUCAACGUUGGAACUGCCUUUGAAACUGGCAGACUUGAGUGUAUGAGAGGUGAGUGGAAUUCGAGGUGUAGGAGUGAAAUCCGUAGAUAUCUGGAGGAACAUCAAUGGCGAAGGCGACUAUCUGGCACAUAACUGACGCUGAGGAUCGAAAGCGUGGGUAUCAAACAGGAUUAGAUACCCGUGUAGUC
rnacentral:rRNA from 1 species